GAUGAACGCUGACAGAAUGCUUAACACAUGCAAGUCAACCGGUGGCGGACGGGUGAGUAACGCGUAAAGAACUUGCCUCACAGUUAGGGACAACAUUUGGAAACGAAUGCUAAUACCUGAUACUGUGAGAGAGCUUUGCGUCCCAUUAGCUCGUUGGAGAGGUAACGGCUCACGAAGGCGAUGAUGGGUAGCCGGCCUGAGCGGGUGAUCGGCCACAAGGGGACUGGGGCACGACCCUUACUCAUACGUGAGUCAGCAGUGGGGGAUAUUUGACGAUGGGCCAAAGUCUGAUCCAGCAAUUCUGGGUGCACGAUGAAGUUUUCGGAAUGUAAAGUGCUUUCAGUUGAGAAGCGGUACCAACAGAAGAAGUGACGGCUAACUACGUGCCAGCCGCCGCGGUAAUAC
rnacentral:rRNA from 1 species